UAGGGAAUCUUCGGCAAUGGACGAAAGUCUGACCGAGCAACGCCGCGUGAGUGAAGAAGGUUUUCGGAACGUAAAACUCUGUUGUUAGAGAAGAACAAGGACGUUAGUAACUGAACGUCCCCUGACGGUAUCUAACCAGAAAGCCACGGCUAACUACGUGCCAGCAGCCGCGGUAAUACGUAGGUGGCAAGCGUUGUCCGGAUUUAUUGGGCGUAAAGCGAGCGCAGGCGGUUUCUUAAGUCUGAUGUGAAAGCCCCCGGCUCAACCGGGGAGGGUCAUUGGAAACUGGGAGACUUGAGUGCAGAAGAGGAGAGUGGAAUUCCAUGUGUAGCGGUGAAAUGCGUAGAUAUAUGGAGGAACACCAGUGGCGAAGGCGGCUCUCUGGUCUGUAACUGACGCUGAGGCUAGAAAGCGUGGGGAGCAAACAGG
rnacentral:rRNA from 1 species